UACGAAGGGGGGCUAGCGUUGCUCGGAAUCACUGGGCGUAAAGGGUGCGUAGGCGGGUCUUUAAGUCAGGGGUGAAAUCCUGGAGCUCAACUCCAGAACUGCCUUUGAUACUGAAGAUCUUGAGUGCGGGAGAGGUGAGUGGAACUGCGAGUGUAGAGGUGAAAUUCGUAGAUAUUCGCAAGAACACCAGUGGCGAAGGCGCUCACUGGCCCGAUACUGACGCUGAGGCACGAAAGCGUGGGGAGCAAACAGGAU
rnacentral:rRNA from 1 species